ACCCAACAUAGAGUUCUCAGAGAG
rnacentral:siRNA from 1 species